CUGGUUUCUAUUGAUUUGAUUCUUUAGAUCCUCAUAAUCAAAUUACCUAAUUCUCCCCUGUCUUUAGUAUCUGCAGUAGCGUUUCUAAAUCUUUUUAUUUGCCCUGCACCUAUUUGAAAAUCUGGUGAAGGUUUUCUUAGAAUAAUGUUUUAACAUGUAUAUAAUAAAAUACAUAGGAUUACGAAGAAAGCCAAUUAUAUUGAAAUGUAGAAUCAAAGUAUUAAACAAUUUUAUGAUAUAAUAAUUAUGUGCUUCCUUAUUUAUGCAUUAAAUAACACUAGUUAAUGGUGGGUCUAAUACCUACCUACCAUCAUUAAGUUGUGAUCUACCUAAAUAAUAGGUCAAGAUUUCAAGAACAAUCAUAGUGAGAUAUGAAAAUGUCUGAUUUUGAUUGAUGACAAAGUUACAGUUAUUCCUUUAAAUUACUGAUUAUUUUCCUACAUCCAUAAUUGAAGGAAAUUGCUAUUUUUUAGGUAGAGGUUGAUAAAACUAAGGGUAUCUUUUUUUUCCUGUCGGAGUUCCUGAACUACCUGAAUUCUAUCCAUGGCCCCACUAGGAAGUUAUGAAGAUUUAACACUCCUGCCUUGGAAUAACACAAAUGCUCUCUGAGAACUCAAUUCUCCCUUGAGAGAGACCUGCCCUGGCACUAUGGAAUAAGCAUGCUACGUUAACUUUCUAAAGGCCACUGGGGAACAAUUUACUGAACUGCAAACUUAAAGGAGCCUCCCUAUUGGUCAAACCCAGCCGGCAGCCUAGGAAUGUAUCCAUGUAGGUCAACUUCCUGAGGCUAACAGCAGGGUAA
rnacentral:lncRNA from 10 species